UAAAGUAUCUUUUAGCUUAACAAAUUUUUGAUAUUUUUAUUUGAUGUAACUAUACACAAAUUGACACUAUGCAAUAAAAAAUGACAUGUAAACACUAAAAAUGAUUCAUAGGCGUGCCAGCUAUCGCGGUUAUACCCUAAUGUUAUAUUUAAUUCUUGAUACUAUAUAAUAUUAAUUAAAAAUAUUUAUUAUGAAAUAAGAAGUGAAAUUGUAUUUUUAUUUGAUAUAGAUGUUAUAUAGUCAAAUUUAAAUUGAAAACUAGGAUUAGAGACCCUACUAUUCUAAAUUUUAGAAACAAAGAAGUAUAUUUAUAAGUAAACUUAAUUAAGAUGGCGGUAAAAUUUUCAUUAGAGGAGACUGUUCUGUAAUCGAUAACCCUCGUUUAAUCCUUUUUGUCUUAUUGUGUAUAUCGCCGUUGAAAUCUAAUUUUAGAUUGGAUUAUUUUAAUUAAAAUUUUAUGUCAACAGGUCAAGAUACAAAUAAUAAAAAAGUAUGAAAUGGUCUACAAUUAAAUAUUAUUUUAUUAAAGUAUAAAAUUGCUAAUUUAAUUGUACUUUAAAGGAUUUAUUAGUAAUUUUGACUAGUUUAUAUAACAAUAUGAUUAUUUAUAAUUUUAUGCACAUAUCGCCCGUCACCCUCGUAAGAGGUAAGUCGUAACAAAGUAGAUUUUUUGGAAAAAAAAUCUAGU
rnacentral:rRNA from 1 species